AAUAUAUUUUUAAUAAAGAUAGGCUUUCAAAGAAAUACCAUAUCUCUCUUCCUAUAGGUCCGUUUUCAGUGAUCUAGGUACCGUUUAAAAGAUAAUUUAAUACUCUAUAUUUUUUAUGAAGAAACUCUUUCCUGAUUCUGAUUAUUUAGAUGUCGAAAAAUUAAUGUUUUCAUGCUGGCUGUCGAAUUACAGUUUUUCAAAUUUCUUUCCAAUAUUGCCUCAGUAAAAGUACGAUAUCUAUUCUUUCCAGCAAUUUUUGUACCGUUAGAAAGAUAAUUCAAUAAUACAUAUUUUAUUUGAAGAAACCUUUCCCUAAUUCGGAGUUCUUACCUAUCAAAAGUCGGUAUCUUCACUCGAUUAGGAUAUCUCAUUUUAAGUUUUGUUUCAGAAAAAGUAUCUUUAGUAAAAAUUCAAUAUCUCUCUCAAUUUUGAUCAAUUUUAAAAGAUCUUUAUCUCGUUUCAAAGCUUAAGAAAAUAGCUACAUUUUUUAUGAAGGAAGUGUUGUCUGGAUCGGGGUUUAAAUAUUUUUAAAGCUUUUAUUUUUGGGCUGUAUUCAGAAAUCGGCAUGAUCUAGGAUUUUAAAGAAACUGUUUUAAUAAAAUAUGCAUAACUCCUAGGUUAUAACUCUAAUUUUGAUGAUCUCUAUACUGUUAGAAAGGUAUUUCGAUUAUCUAAAAACUUUGUGAACAGUAAAAUUUCUAAUUCAAACGUUUUAUGAGUCAAAUUCUGGGCUAAACUUGCUGUAUAGUAAGAGUUAUAAAUAUAUUGAGUUAUGAGUGGUCCAAGGGUUUCACUAAUUGUUGAUAGGGUCUAGAAGGUAUCGUAAGAGUUAAUUAAAGCGGAGUUGAGGUAAGAAAAAAUAAUUAUACUUUACACUUGCUUUUUAUAUGGUUUGAGUACCUAGUGAGAGUGCUUGAAUAAAUUGUAUUGAAACUGUAGAAUGUGAUAGUUUCGGCGAAAUAGUAUUUUGUUGAUAGAUUGUAUAUGGCUGUUUAAUCAUGUUCCAAGUACUUGUAAGUGGUUGGAAACUACACAUGUAUGGUGAUGUGGUAAGUGAGGCAGUGUACGUAAGGGUGCACUGGUCAUUGGUACUGCGUUCUGGUUAAGAACGUAAGACACUCCAGAUUUGUAAGGAAGCUGGAGUGUGAGUGUGUGAUAUUUCUGUAUUAGUGUGGCUGCAUCUAUUCAAAAACAUGAUGGGUUUGUUGUAUGUUUGAUGUAUGUGAUUGUGCUAUGAUGUGUGAAUGCUGGUACAUAGUAUUUUGUUUUUUGCUUACUUGGCUUUGCAGCUCACCCCUUAUUUACCCCCUAUGUGCAGAUAAGUAAGCCUGUAAGCUUUCAGUGACAAGUUGAGUCUGGGCAGCAUGGGGUGUAUCACGUGAGAACAUGUGAUAACUCUAUGAAAGCAAGGAAGAAGUGGAACAAAAGCUGAAAUUAGGGCAGAUUGCUGAAGCAAUGCUGAAGCGAAUUCAACAUUCUGGCAGUGACGUGGAAACACGAGUUUCACUUAUCCACAUCAGUAAAUUCGUCCCACUCACUCAAAAUACACCAGCUGGCUGCGGUGGAAGGAAGGGGACUAAAUCUAGUGGGCCAAAGUGCAAAAAGAAUUGGAUUUCUCAUUUUGGGGAGUGAUUUUGUACCUUAGGAACCAAACAACUAAAAGGGGAAAAGAAAGAAAGUACAUAUCUUCAACCUCCAUUACGUGAGCAAAGCUGCUGCAUUUUUUUUAGAAGAGAAGUAAAUGCAGAAAAAGUACAGCAGAGGAGGAAGAGAAAAGGGGGUCCAAGCUUUAGUGUUUGAUUUUUCUUUUACCCUCUCUUAAUUGUUUUCUUUCUCUUUCUCUUUUCUUGUUUCUUUUACUUAGAUAUUAAAACUUGUUAACUUGUAAACAAAGGGCAGCAGCCAUGGAUGAAUAUUUUUUACUUUGGAUUUUAUUUUCUUACUUGAAUAUGAGCUAGACUUUUGAGGCUUGAA